rnacentral:rRNA from 1 species
UACGUAGGUGGCAAGCGUUUGUCCGGAAUUAUUGGGCGUAAAGCGCGCGCAGGCGGUCCUUUAAGUCUGAUGUGAAAGCCCACGGCUCAACCGUGGAGGGUCAUUGGAAACUGGGGGACUUGAGUGCAGAAGAGGAGAGUGGAAUUCCACGUGUAGCGGUGAAAUGCGUAGAGAUGUGGAGGAACACCAGUGGCGAAGGCGACAUCUCUGGUCUGUAACUGACGCUGAGGAGCGAAAGCAUGGGGAGCGAACAGG